rnacentral:rRNA from 1 species
AGCGAACGCUGGCGGCAGGCUUAACACAUGCAAGUCGAACGGACCCUUCGGGGGUUAGUGGCGGACGGGUGAGUAACACGUGGGAACGUGCCUUUAGGUUCGGAACAACACAGGGAAACUUGUGCUAAUACCGGAUGUGCCCUUCGGGGAAAGAUUUAUCGCCUUUAGAGCGGCCCGCGUCUGAUUAGCUUGUUGGUGAGGUAAAGGCUCACCAAGGCUACGAUCAGUAGCUGGUCUGAGAGGAUGAUCAGCCACACUGGGACUGAGACACGGCCCAGACUCCUACGGGAGGCAGCAGUGGGGAAUAUUGGACAAUGGGCGCAAGCCUGAUCCAGCCAUGCCGCGUGAGUGAUGAAGGCCUUAGGUUGUAAACUCCUGUCAGCAGGGAAAAGCAAAUCGGCCUAACACGCCCGGUGAGUUGAUUGUACCUGCAGAGGAAGCCCCGGCUAACUCUGUGCCAGCCGCCGCGGUAAU